AACAAUUGCCUUUCAGGCAUCCUCUCCCAAAACUUUCCAGCCCGGCAGGCAACUGCCGGGCUAUUUUUUUGCCUGCG
rnacentral:sRNA from 1 species